rnacentral:rRNA from 1 species
UACGGGGGGGGCAAGCGUUGUUCGGAAUUACUGGGCGUAAAGGGCUCGUAGGUGGCCAACUAAGUCAGACGUGAAAUCCCUCGGCUUAACCGGGGAACUGCGUCUGAUACUGGAUGGCUUGAGUUUGGGAGAGGGACGCGGAAUUCCAGGUGUAGCGGUGAAAUUCGUAGAUAUUGGGAAGAACACCGGUGGCGAAGGCGGCGACCUGGUCCGAUACUGACGCUGAGGCGCGAAAGCGUGGGGAGCAAACAGG